rnacentral:lncRNA from 1 species
UCAAAGGAUCUGAACAAUAUCAGCCUUGAAGAACUUGUUAGUUCUCUCAGAAGCCAUGAGAUAGAACUAGAGGAGGAUGAGCCUCAGAAAAGGAACAAGUCCGUAGCGCUAAAGUCCAGAUCUGAAAGACGGAAACCUGACAGAACCAAAGCUCUCCAGGCAGAAACUGAAGAUACUGACGAUUCUGAACCAGAAGACUCUGAUGAUGAAGAAGAGUUGUCC